rnacentral:tRNA from 1 species
CGGGGCGUGGCGCAGCCCGGCUAGCGCGCUUGCAUGGGGUGCAAGANNUUCAAAUCCUCUCGCCCCGACUA